AGUGAACGCUGGCGGUAGGCCUAACACAUGCAAGUCGAACGGCAGCACAGUAAGAGCUUGCUCUUACGGGUGGCGAGUGGCGGGCGGGUGAGGAAUACAUCGGAAUCUACUUUUUCGUGGGGGAUAACGUAGGGAAACUUACGCUAAUACCGCAUACGACCUACGGGUGAAAGCAGGGGAUCUUCGGACCUUGCGCGAUUGAAUGAGCCGAUGUCGGAUUAGCUAGUUGGCGGGGUAAAGGCCCACCAAGGCGACGAUCCGUAGCUGGUCUGAGAGGAUGAUCAGCCACACGGGAACUGAGACACGUUCCAGACUCCUACGGGAGGCAGCAGUGGGGAAUAUUGGACAAGGGGCGCAAGCUUGAUCCAGCCAAACCGCGGGGGUGAAGAAGGCCUUCGGGUUGUAAAGCCCUUUUGUUGGGAAAGAAAAGCAGCAGGUUAAUACCCCGCUGUUCGGACGGUACCCAAAGAAUAAGCACCGGCUAACUUCGU
rnacentral:rRNA from 1 species